CCCACACAUAUAUAUAUAUAUAUAAGUGUAAAAGUAAAAUUAGGUUUUUCACAAACCACAAACCAAAAUUGUGUUUGAAUUUUGUUUGAAAGUUGGAAGAACUUAAUUUUGGUUUAGUUGUAAUUUAAUUUCUUGAAAGACUAUUUUGUAAUUUUAAAUUCUCUUGUAAUUUUAAACCUAUGUUUUUGCUAAGUGAUUGACAAUAUGUUUAAAUUCCAUUGUUUUUGCUUAAAUUUACCUUGUUUUGC
rnacentral:lncRNA from 1 species